rnacentral:rRNA from 1 species
AGAGGUGACAGGGAUCUAAUGCUCAUGUUUGCAUGGGCUUUGCAAGGUAAAUACCUUGGCGAAUAAGUGGUGGGUAAGACUGGUGCCAGCAGCCGCGGUAAUACCAGCGCCACAAGUGGGGAUCAUAAUUAUUGGCCUAAAGCGUCCGUAGCUGGUCAGACAAAUCUUUGUGAAAUCGUAGAGCUUAACUCUACGGCGUGCAGAAGACACUAUCUGGCUUGGAACCGGGAGAAGUCAAAGGUAUUCUAGGGGGAGCGGUAAAAUGUUAUAAUCCCUGGAGGACCACCUAUAGCGAAGGCAUUUGACUAGAACGGAUUCGACAGUGAGGGACGAAAGCUAGGGGAGCGAACCGGAUUAGAUACCCGAGUAGUCCUAGCCGUAAACGCUGCGAGUUAGGUGUCGCGUAUUUUUCGGGAAUGCGCGGUAUCGAAGCGAAGGCGAUAAACUCGCCGCCUGGGAAGUAUAGUCGCAAGGCCGAAACUUAAAGGAAUUGGCGGGGGAGCACUACAAGGGGUGCGGCGUGCGGUUUAAUCCAACUCAACGCGGAGAAUCUCACCAUGAGCGACGGCAAGAUGAAGGUCAGGUUAAAGACUUUACCAGAUGAGCCGAGAGGUAGUGCAUGGCCGUCGUCAGCUCGUGCCGUAAGGUGUCCUCUUAAGUGAGGUAACGAGCGAGACCUGUAUCUACAUUACCAUCGACUCUUAUCGAGGAUUGGGUACAUUGUAGGGACUGCCUUGGAAACAAGGAGGAAGGUGCAGGCUACGGUAGGUCUGUAUGCUCCGAAUCCCAUGGGCUACACGCGCGCACAUGGUAGGGACAUGGGUCACAACUCCGAAAGGAGAAGUUAAUCCUCUAAACCCUAUCUUAGUACAGAUCGAGGGUUAAACUACCCUCGUGACGAUGAAUCCCUAUAAUCGAGU